rnacentral:misc_RNA from 1 species
GGUUAAACACAUCCGGCGGCGUCGCGUUAAGGAUAUCCAGCGCGCGAUCCAUACGUCCACGGAAGUCUGGCACCAGGGUCUCUAUUUUUAUCUCCGGGCUUUUGGCACGGAUGGCGGUGAUGCAGUCAGCAAAAUGCUGGGCGCCGCCGUCACGCAGAUCGUCACGGUCGACAGAGGUGAUGACCACAUAACGUAGCGCCAUGUCGGCGAUCGUUUGCGCCAGUUUCUGCGGCUCUUCCGCAUCCGGCGCAACGGGGCGGCCAUGGGCGACAUCACAGAACGGACAGCGGCGAGUGCAAAUGGCGCCAAGGAUCAUAAACGUAGCGGUACCGUGGUUGAAACAUUCAGCCAGGUUUGGGCAAGACGCUUCCUCGCAGACAGAAUGCAGGCCAUUUUUGCGCAUUGCGGCUUUGAUGCCCUGGAUACGGGUAGAAUCCGCCGGAAGUUUUAUUUUCAUCCAUUCCGGUUUACGUAGUAG